rnacentral:piRNA from 1 species
UACCCACUGAGCCAUCUCACCAGCC